AGAUUGAUGUUUGAUUUUGUGAGAAGCUCAUUUUGUAAUUGAGCCAGUGCAGUGUGUGUACAGCCCUGGAGGCCAGGGUUCAAAUCCCUGUUUGUCCA
rnacentral:tRNA from 1 species